ensembl:processed_transcript
GCGGGCCGCAGGUUUAGUCCUGGUUGUGGAGUGGGAUGCUGAGAUGGGUCUGGAGGGAUGCAGGAUGUUCUAGGCCGUUAGGAUGGUAAAUAGGGACCUCGCUCCGCGAGGGAUGCUGAACGGGGUCUGGAAGAAUGCAAGAUGUCCUGGUCCGGGCCAGGAAUGGUUACAUGGAUAGUGGGAUGUCAGAAGGGGAAUUGUAGUGAAUCACCCUUCUAUCCAAUCAACUGACAACACAGCAAUGAUCCCACAUCAUCCCAGCCCGAGAAAAACUCAGGGUUGGUGCCGGUGCUGAGCAGCUACUGGCCAGGAGCUGGAUGUCAGAUCCCUGGGAGGAUAUGAGAGGAUGUUUCCAGAAACACCGAACUAAAAAGGAACGUCCAACCCUGAAUGUGGAGGACAUCCUCCUCUGGGCUGGGCUCCCAGACUGAGUAAGAAGAAAAUAAGUUGAGCUCGCCCCCCCCCCCCCAGCGCUGUAGAUACAGUGUGACCAGUUACCAG